UACAGAGGUCUCAAGCGUUGUUCGGAUUCAUUGGGCGUAAAGGGCGCGUAGGCGGCGGGGUAAGUCGGGUGUGAAAUCUCAGAGCUCAACUCUGAAACUGCACUCGAUACUGCUCUGCUUGAGGACUGGAGAGGAGACUGGAAUUCACGGUGUAGCAGUGAAAUGCGCAGAUAUCGUGAGGAACACCAGUGGCGAAGGCGGCGAUCUGGGUCGAUACUGACGCUGAGGUGCGAAAGCGUGGGGAGCAAACAGG
rnacentral:rRNA from 1 species